rnacentral:lncRNA from 1 species
CUCUGAUUUUUAAGUGUAAAGCUGAAAUAAUUCAACAAAAUUUAUUUUUAUUUUUGUUACAAAUUCUUUCAUACUUAGUUACAUCAUUGUGGUUUGUGGCCUCUGUUGUUUUCCUUUUCCUUUACAGGUACACCAGGCAAGUUCUCCUAAUGCCUGGCCCUCAGGGAAGCUUAUAGAGUGAGGCAAUUUGGAAAACCCUGUUUUGGAACUGAGUUGCUCCUCAAUAGCUCCCCAUGGAAGAAGGAUUCCUAGUACUGUACAUCACUGGCACACAACUUGGUCUGGAGUGAGGACUGUGGCUUCCUUCUUGAGGCACUCUGACCCAGGAGAUUCACAGACUGGAGCACCAGUCUUAGGAGAAGACCGAUUUUGGUGGAAAGUGGGUCAGAAGAGCAUGUGCAACUCAAGGAUUGCUGAGGAUGAACAAGUGCAUAGGGUAAAGUUGCUUCAUCAUGAAAGGUGAGUAUUUAGGGUAGAGACUGCGGUCUUGGUCUACAUUACUUGGUUGAGAUUAUAAAAUGGUUUCUGUCGACCCUCUCUACAAUCAGUGACAAAUUGUACUAAUAAUGAUGGACUCCUAAAAACCCUCAGUAGCCAAUCAGGUUGCAACCUCCUUCACCUUGAAGCUUUUUCCUAGAGAAUAUUUUCUUUCCGAAGGUUGUGUGGUACUUCCACUCUCCUUGAUUCCACCUUGGAAACACUGGCUACUACUUCAUAAAGAACUGGAAGGGAAGAAAGUGAUAAUGUGGAAAAGUGCCAAAACUCAGUCUGAUUUUUCCUGGCAGCUUUCCCUUGGUGUCAUUGGUAAGUUCCGCAUUUCACUGGAGUGGAGUGCCACACUGCUACUAUGACUAUAGUAGUCACUCCCACGCCUGACUUUUUUGUUUGGUCCAUUUUAUCUUUAGGAAUAGGCAUUUUCUGUAGGGAUAGAUGGGUUUAAACCCUAUUAAAGCUAGUCAGAAUGUUUUUCAUUAGGGGCCACUCAAUUCCUGUCUUAUACCUAAUAGAUUUCUUUGGAUUUUCUUUGAUUCUUAUACAAAAACACCCAGUAUCAUCAUGCUGGAGGAUUCUCUUAAGGUGGUUGCUUUGCAGAGAACAGACAGCACAUUUGCUUUUUUAGCCACCUAUCCUAUUUCAUAGGACUGCAUGCCUGCCUCCCUCCAUUUUGUCUGUGCUUACACUGUUUUUUCCUUCUCUUUCCAACUCUUCUACAGAACUUGUGUUGGAAUAAAAGACUCCAUUCCAGAUCCAUUCCAGAGUUGCUGUGAGAAACUUCCCCACUGACUCUUUUUCCUAACUCAGUAAAAUGGCAGUGUAAGAAAGCUUUAUGCAGGCAAGGGCUGAAAGAAAUCUCCACCUAGAAUACAGUGUUUGAUUUUUCCUUCUGAUUUUCUUGUCAACUCUCAAAAACUUCCCUUAUAAUCAUUUUAUAUGUGUGAAAUUUCCCUAGGUUGGUUUUAAAGAACAAAACAAAACAAAAGCAACCUACAUUGGUUUAACAUGGGAAAUCCUAGAUAACAGACUUUUCCUGUUCCUGGGCAAUAGCCUUCUGUGCUAAGAUUGGUGACCUUACCUUGGUAAUAUUGUUGGUGCUUAGCCUUCCAGAUCUAAAAACAGCUUAGUGUAAUAAGUACCAAGCACAAAAUUGUUAAGUUUCUCUUUUGAUUGACUAUGAAGAGGCUAUCAAGCUUUUUUUUGUUUUGUUUUGUUUUUUGUUUUUUGA